rnacentral:lncRNA from 1 species
AUCAAUACAAAAUUUAUUUGGCUCAAAUAGUCUAACUUGAUUUUGUUGUGUCCUUAUUUCAAAAGGUUCAGCUCCAAAAAAUAACGUUUCUGGGAUAAGGAAUGACGUGAUGAAAUGCAAGCUAAAAUAUAAUAUUUACAAAUGAAAUACAUCUUCAUUUCUGCACCACGUAUCACAGAAAAUAUAAUAUACAUCAUCUGUCGACUCUACACAUCUAAGACCAAAAAGUCAUGGCCAAAAAGUUCACGCAAAACUUGAUCUAUCACAUGGAUUUAAAUUAAAAUGAGACACAAAGCAUCUUCUUCCCUCUACUUCCGAGUAGCCCUAUUGUAGAACAUCCUGUCAUUUCAAACGAUAAAACAUUAAAAACAUACAAAAUAUAAUGGAGACAUAUGGCCGUUUUACAUUAAGCAGUAAACAUAAGCAAGAUAGAAAGGCUUGUUUGCUGGCAGAAAUAAGGUGGGCAACAUGUUUCUUUACUUGAAUGGAUUUACAGUACAACCCUUGAACAACAACAUACAUACAAGAAACCCCAUGAAGAACGCUCACUUGAAUCUUCUUUAUAUUUUUCUUGCAUAACAGAAUGGGGGAAUGAGCAUUACCUGGCAGAAAUAUCAACAGAAGCAUACAACCUGGACAGUGCAGGCUAGAUCUGGAAGAGAAAAAAUGAUACCAUAUGCAGAAAGGUGAGAUUGAGAUGUACAUUACCGAAGAAAAGAGAAGGGUGCACAUUACAGAAAACAGAAUCGAGUUAUAUAUAUUUGAUAUGGUAUGCUAAUGCAUACUUCCAACUCAUACAUGACGCACAUACGCAACAAAUUUCAAGCAAGCAGGAGGCAUAAUUUCUGUACAAGAUCUAUGCUAAGCUUGGGACAUUGUAGAAUACCUAACAUAUGAGUUUCUAUAGGGCAUUGAUCGUGACAAGGAGGUGCUACUGAUCAUUGACGUAUAGUUUUGCACAUAGUAUAUAUAUUGGGGUUUGUUUCCAGUUUCCAUUGGGUAAGAACCACAACAGAAAUUCCUUAAAUUUGGUUGUACCCAAUGUAUUAUAGUAAGCUGAUUAUGCUUAUAAAGUAUGGAGCCGUAUAGAAUACAGCAGUUCCUGGUGGAAAUACAGCAGUGCUGUGCGUUGUUGUGCUUGCCGUGGGUAUCCGUUCUGUCUGAUUGCACGAACAAGUAUAGGCAAGCUGUGCUGACGGCUGCAGUGUACGUUAGAUGGUUGAGUUUAAUGCUGAACGGGACAGGAAGGAAAGGAUUUCUAGCAGUGAGACAAUGCAUACAGAGACCGCUAGUAUUAUGCUACAGACCAAGUAAUUUGCUUAUUAUAUUUGAAAUUUUCUGAGAAUAAAAUAUUACAUUGUUAAUUUUAGCUGAUAUUAGAGAACAAAAAAAUGAUCUACUACAGAAAAUACAUAUACAUUAAAAUAUAAGAAGACCGGAAUACUUGGCGAGUUAUUAUUUUUAAAAUAUCUGAAAAUGGAGUUGCAUCCUCGAUAUGAUGUGCUGACAUGCUAUUGCGACAAAAUUAUUAAAUCAUGUAACCAUGGAACAGUCAGAAGGAGGAAAUAACCAACGGUUUUGAAAAUGCAGUCGCAUACUCAAUAUGAUGUAUUGUCAUGCUAUUGCGAUAAAACAGAUUAAUUCCCUAUCUAUGGGACAUCAAAAUAAUAUAUGUUUUUAUAUAUAUAAUCACAAAUUUCUUAAAGGCAGUGAUCAACCAAGAUAGAUACAGACUUAUUUAAAGUUAACGGUAUAUGCUUUUGCUCCAAAACAAUAUAUGCUUUUACAAAUAUACUCCAAAAUGCAUACUCAUAGAACAAAAAAUGAUCUACUACAGAAAAUACAUAUACAUUAAAAUAUAAAAAGACUGGAAUACUUGGCGAGUUAUUAUUUUUAAAAUAUCUGAAAAUGGAGUGGCAUCCUCGAUAUGAUGUGCUGACAUGCUAUUGCGACAAAAUUAUUAAAUCAUGUAACCAUGGAACGGUCAGAAGGAGGAAACAACCAACGGUUUUGAAAAUGCAGUCGCAUACUCAAUAUGAUGUAUUGUCAUGCUAUGGCGAUAAAACAGAUUAAUUCUCUAUCUAUCGGACAUCAAAAUAGUAUAUGCUUUUAUAAAUAUAAUCACAAAUUUCUUAAAGGCAGUGAUCAACCAAGAUAGAUACAGACUUCUUUAAAGUUAACGGCAUAUGCUUUUCCUCCAAAACAAUAUAUGAUUUUACAAAUAUACUCCAAAAUUUAAAGUUAACGGUAUAUGCUUUUGCUCCAAAACAAUAUAUGCUUUUACAAAUAUACUCCAAAAUGCAUACUCAUAGAACAAAAAAUGAUCUACUACAGAAAAUACAUAUACAUUAAAAUAUAAAAAGACUGGAAUACUUGGCGAGUUAUUAUUUUUAAAAUAUCUGAAAAUGGAGUGGCAUCCUCGAUAUGAUGUGCUGACAUGCUAUUGCGACAAAAUUAUUAAAUCAUGUAACCAUGGAACGGUCAGAAGGAGGAAACAACCAACGGUUUUGAAAAUGCAGUCGCAUACUCAAUAUGAUGUAUUGUCAUGCUAUGGCGAUAAAACAGAUUAAUUCUCUAUCUAUCGGACAUCAAAAUAGUAUAUGCUUUUAUAAAUAUAAUCACAAAUUUCUUAAAGGCAGUGAUCAACCAAGAUAGAUACAGACUUCUUUAAAGUUAACGGCAUAUGCUUUUCCUCCAAAACAAUAUAUGAUUUUACAAAUAUACUCCAAAAUGCAUACUCAUAGAAUAAUAUAUGCAAUUACAAAUAUAAUCGCAAAUUUCUUAAAAGGCAGGGAUCAACCAAGAUAGCUAAGGAUCUUGUUGGACUCGAAGGUCAUUUCAUGUUCCGUAAUUAAUCCUGUUCAUGAUGUUUAGUGGUGAUGUUUUUGAAGUGAUGUUGUGUGGUAUUCAGAAGAGGGUUGUGCUAUGUUUUGCUGCUGGUUCAAUUUAUGGGCACGACCCUUGUGUUGCAUUUUCAAACAAGCUUAGUUUCUCAUUAGUUGAUGUGUUCAUCGUUCACAGGAUCAGAAUAGUUAUGGCGUUAUGUGCAGUUUCUUUUUGAUGAUAAAGGACCUGCCGUUCACAAGAUGGUCCUUUAAACACUUUGUGGUAAGCUGAACCAUAGUGAACUAAUCGCACUGCCUGAACAUGAAGGGCGUAAAUAGAGAAUACGGUGUGUUGUGAAUACCUGUCAGCUGAAAUACAUGUGAGUACAUGCGAGCCUGUAGCUGAUCGGCGUGCUCUCUGACGAUGGAGAACGGAUCCAGGAUGAACACAUGGGAAUACCCUGGGAGAACAAACCAUCUAGAACGAUCUUGUAGGUACAAUACUCAUGCUCACGGCCCUCUCAUCCACCAAAACAAGUGCCAAUUUCUCCGAUCCACACAUUUCAGGUACAUCCAAUCCGCCAGCUUCCUACGAGACCAAAACUAAAAUCAAGAUCCCCCGUACAGACAGGGAACGCAUCCGGGAAGGAUGGGUCGGGGACGAACCUGAGGGCCUGGUGAGGGAUUCGCCGGAGCGCGCGACUGUGAAGAUGCCGCUCGGCAGCAAGCUUCUCGGAGAGCUCCGCCGAGUACGUGGCUGCGAGGGCGGCGACGCUGGUGUCCAUUGCGAUGCAAGUGUUGAGGACGAGGGGGCGGGAAGCAGGACGCCAUGUGGGAGACAACGCGGUGGUUGUGCUCGGGUGGUGACGGGGAAGGGUGCGCGGAUCUGGACAUGGUGUUUGGGCAUAGGUGGUGCUGAGGGAGGUGGAGGCUGGCGGCUGGCAAGAAGAGAGGCAAGGGGACGUGGCUGGGAACUAGGGUUAGGGUUAUGUGGGAGAGAGGAUUUAUAACGUAUUGG